ensembl:snoRNA SNORD33 Small nucleolar RNA Z195/SNORD33/SNORD32 family
UCUAUCUAUACCCAAUGUGGGGCUUGAACUCAUGACAUUGAGAUCAAGAGUCACAUGCUCUACCAACUGAGAUAAC